rnacentral:rRNA from 1 species
UACAGAGGUGGCAAGCGUUGUUCGGAAUCACUGGGCAUAAAGGGCGUCUAGGCGGAUCGGUAAGUCGGCUGUGAAAGCCCUCGGCUCAACCGAGGAAGUGCAUCCGAUACUGUCGGUCUUGAGGACGAGAGGGGAGAGUGGAACUCCUGGUGGAGCGGUGAAAUGCGUAGAUAUCAGGAGGAACGCCGGUGGCGAAAGCGACUCUCUGGCUCGUUUCUGACGCUGAAGCGCGAAAGCUAGGGGAGCGAACGGGAUUAGAUACCCCAGUA